AGCUCUCACACAGAUGAGCAGAGGAUGAAGAGGGUCAUGGGACCUGCGCCAACACUCCAGAGCACAGAAGCGAUCCUUUCAUCCAGACUCGUGUCAGUGCUUGAUGUCAAACUUCUCAAUUGUUUGCCAAUCUGAGGCCUGGUGUCACCUGCACAGCACUUUCACCUGCCAUGCAAAGCAGACACAUGCCCUUUGAUGUCAAAGACUGCCUGGGAGGAGAACUUCAGAGCUGCUCCAUGAAUCCCCCAUUCCCACUCCCCACAUUGUCUCUCUCCCUAAUGCUCCUGAC